GGUUGAGCCUAUGCUUCAAGUUCUGUUUUCUGGGGGGAGAAAAC
rnacentral:ncRNA from 3 species